rnacentral:siRNA from 1 species
GAAAUCGGGGUGUUACAAUUCAC